rnacentral:rRNA from 1 species
UACAGAGGUCUCAAGCGUUGUUCGGAUUCAUUGGGCGUAAAGGGUGUGUAGGUGGCGCGCUAAGUCGGGUGUGAAAUUUCGGAGCUUAACUCCGAAACUGCAUUCGAUACUGGCGUGCUUGAGGACUGGAGAGGAGACUGGAAUUCAUGGUGUAGCAGUGAAAUGCGUAGAGAUCAUGAGGAAGACCAGUGGCGAAGGCGGGUCUCUGGGCCGAUACUGACGCUGAGGAGCGAAAGCGUGGGGAGCAAACAGG